rnacentral:misc_RNA from 1 species
UUAAGUUCAGCGGGUAGUCCUACCUGAUCCGAGGUCAACCUUGAAGAGUUGGGUGUUUUACGGCGUGGCCGCACCGCUGUCCCUCUGCGAGCUAAGUACUUCACAGGGGAGGUCACGGUGGGACCGCCACUACAUUUAGGGGACGGCAGCCGCUAGGGAAGCCGAUCCCCAACACCAGCGCCCUCCGACCAGUGCCGGAG